ACGGGGGGUGCAAGCGUUGUUCGGUAUUAUUGGGCGUAAAGAGCGUGUAGGCGGCUGAAUAAGUCAGAUGUGAAAUCCCUGGGCUUAACCCAGGAAGUGCAUUUGAAACUAUUCAGCUUGAGUAGGGGAGAGGAAAGUGGAAUUCCUGGUGUAGGGGUGAAAUUCGUAGAUAUCAGGAGGAACACCUGUGGCGAAGGCGACUUACUGGCCCUAUACUGACGCUGAGACGCGAGAGCGUGGGUAGCAAACAG
rnacentral:rRNA from 1 species